rnacentral:tRNA from 1 species
AAUAAGAUGGCUGAGAAAUAAGCAGUAGAUUGUAAAUCUUCAUACGAGUAAACCUCUCUUAUUA